rnacentral:lncRNA from 1 species
CCAGGCUAGGGGUUGAAGCUACAGCUGCCGGCCUAUGUCAGAGCCACAGCAACUCGGGAUCUGAACCACAUCUUUGACCUACACCACAGCUCACGGCAAUGCUGGAUCCCUAACCCACUAAACGAGGCCAGGGAUCGAACUCAUGUCCUCAUGGAUGCUAGUCAGGUUCGUUAACCACUGAGCCAUGACAGGAACUCCUAGGCCUUUUUAAUCUACCUUAAAAUAUACCCUUUCCUUCCCUCUCCCCAGCUUUCUCUCCUCAUGUGAAAAUAAAGGAUGGAGUUCUCUUGUGAUGCAGCAGGUUAAGGAUCUGGUGUUGUCACUGCAGUGGCAUAGGUCCCUGCUGGUACAGGUUUGAUCCCUGGCCUGGGAACUUCCACAUGCAGUGGGUGUGGCAGAAGAAAAUAAAGGAGAAGCUUAAUUUGCUUUACUGACCUGAGGAAAAGCUUUCUAUAUGGAAAAUGUAUAAGGCAGGUCACAAAAGGUUUAUAUGCUAUCCAGUACUCAUGAUAAUUUCUGAAUUACAUGACUUUUGCAUUCUUUUUGUUUUUUUCAGACUUAUUUGGUCUUUUUAGGGCCACACCCAGGGCAUAUGGAGGGUCCCAGGCUAAGGGUCUAAUAGGAGCUACAGCUGUCAACCUACGCCACAGCCACAGAAACGCCAGAUCUGAGCCAAGUCUGCAACCUACACCACAGCUAACGGCAACGCCAGAUCCUCAACCUACUAAGUGAGGCCAGUGAUCGAACCGGAAACCUCAUGGUUCCUAGUGGAUUUUUUUCCACUGCACCACAACGGGAACUCCGAAUUCUUUCUUUUGUGAUGGUUUUUAUUUUCUUAAUUAUAGUUCUGACUUUGCAUUCUUUAUAGUGGAUAACUCAUUAGAAGUUUGGAAUGCCUGCAUUUUAAAGUACAAAAAGCAUCCAUUUUUACUUGGGGUCCUUAAAACUUCAGGGAAUUCACAAACCUAGAGAAGCUCUUCUCUUGAAUUGGCAAGGCUGAUGAAUAGGCAAUGUUUUAAGAGAGAGAUCUUCCAGAGGAAGUAGGGCAAGAUAUGGAAUUCAAUUAUCCAAGCCAAAGCUUCUUCCAAAAUAAUUAUGUGCCCCCAGAAAGAAAUAGGAAAUGAAACAUAUUAUAUUUAACUUGGAUUUGGAGGUGGGUUUCCUAAGCAAUUUAUUAAAAUGUGAACAAUAGUUUUGUAGAAAGAACCUGGUUAGUAAAUAUGAUUAGUAAUUAUGAAACCUUAUGAAUUCACAUUAAUUAGUGGGGAAGCUAAAUUGGAUUAUGAAGAGGUUGGGAUUAUAUAAUAGAUUUAUUAAAACUACUCCCUUGUUAGUCUAUCUGCUUCUCUUUCACCUCAGUGUUACUAAAUAUACAGCUUAUCUGGUACACGGAGGAAGUGCUUUCUAUGAAGAAACAGCAUAUACAGAGGCUCAGAAUUGGGACUAUGAAACAGUCCUGUAUUUCCUACCUCUUAUGCUCCUCAACCCCAUCAGUCCCUCAGAAUUUUAGAUAAAUGAAAACAGUCCAGCAUUUAGGAGCACAAGCUAGAGUUAAGUAGACUUAAGUUUACAUCUCAACCUUAUAGUAAUUAUAAGCUAAGAAUUACCCACUUCAUGAUUAAGAAUAGCUUAGUAACACAUCUGUAAAUUUGGGGGGGUGGGAUGAGAUUUCCCUAGAUUCCUGGUGGAAGGUCUUUGUAAAAGGGGCCAGGGAUCAAACCUGUGCCACAGCAGCAACUCAAACUGCUGCAGUAACAACACUGGAUCCUUAACCCACUGCACCACAAGAGAACACUGGAUUCUAUAAGUAGGCUUGGUCAACAUAGCUUGAAUUACAUGUUCCGAUGUUAUGGUUAAAGCAUAGAUGGGAUGUGUCUCAGGCGUCUCACCUGGAUUAGUCAAUGGGAUGUCCAGUGAACCGCAGGGCAUGCAUAUGAAGUUGAAAGGUUUCAAGAUUAACUUAUCUCUUCAUUGGAAACAAAAUCCCCACUACCUAGCUCGUUUUGGCCUGAUGGAACAUGAAAAGCAUACCUAGUCUUCUACAUAGAUGGCUACUCUGAUGUGUGUUGCCUAUUUGCAAUUUACGACUUUGUGCCUCUUGUUGGCAUGUAACUGCUCCAGAUUCUGGUUCCUGCUGAUGUGGCUAUGGCAAGCAUACACAAAACAACGAGGGAAUGAAUGGUGAAAACAACGGCUGCAGUAGAGUGGUAUAUUCUGAACUUGCUAAGAGUUACUAUACUUCUGGCUUUGGGACAGUGAGUAGACCAGCUAUCCUGAAGGCAGGUAACACAGAACAAAGAAUACUCCUCUAUGAUACUCCAGUUUCUUUUUUGCUCCUAGAUUACAGGUGGUCAACAUCUAGAAGAGGGCUCUUCCCAAAGCAGGGUAAAGUUAAAGCCCUCAGCCUGAGACCAUGAGUUUGAGACACUAGAGAGAAAAUAACUUGUCUAUAAGCAGUUGGAGCUUGGGACUGAAGGCUGUGCACUGCAAAGGAUGAAGUGGGCCAUUUCAGUUACUGUGGCUAUGGUGACCCAAACGGAACCUUGGGCCUGGGAGAGGAGAAAACUGGGGGUGAAGUUGUAAGGCAAUCAAGUAUCUUAAACUUGAGUCCUGACCUGCCAAAGGUCAUAGUGGAAGAAGAAUCUCCUUAUAGGGAGGGGACUGCCAAAUUUUGUUACUAAGACCCUUGUUCUGAGACUAAACUUUUCCUUGGAGAGCUUUCAUAAAUCACCACUGACACCAUGGGGAGGACUAGGGGCUGGGAAGGAGCACUCCCCGUUUUGCCUGCUUCUUAAAUACUGCAGCAGAGACCAAGCUGGAACAGACUAGCCUGCUGCAAUCUUUGUUCACCCUACUUCCCAUUGCCUAUCCAUUCCUCACUUUCUAACCCCCACAUAAUUUUGUCAUUUUUUUUCCCACUUUAUACUGAUUAAAAAUAAAGUGUUAGGAAUUUAAAGAAUUCUGUUUUCUUUUGAAUUACUAAAUAAUGUAUUAUGUAGCAAUGCCAAGCAAACUUGGACUGUUAGUGCUACUCGGGGAAGUGCUUCAUUUAAAACACGUGAACCUGGAUACCUAGAGGAAGAGAACUCCCUUUCCCCAUACUGCUCGCCACUCUUUACUAUCUCACCCUUGAGGCUUUUCACUUAGUUUGAAUCUUUCAUUUAAAUUAAACUUGACUGAAGUUCAGGGAUAAGUAGAGUGAUGCAGCAAUUAGCAGACUUACACAACAUGGAUAUUUACCUUUAUUUUUGGAUCUCCAGGAAAACCCAGUAAGGCAGCUCUCUGGCGGAGCCUGUUUUCCCCCAAUCAGUGAGGAGAGCCCUCAACAUUCAUAACUCCUCUAGGUCCAAAUCCUAAGAAGGUAAAUCCAGAAGAGCCACCUUACCUUACCAUUGUUCCAUGUUCCAAGUUCUCCUGUGGGAAUUCUCUUCUAUGAAUGAUGGAUGAUGAGAAAAUGUGCCUUAUUUAGGGAAACUUUUACUUACACUUUACCCAAAGGUUAUGGCUUUAUUCUAUGACCACAAAAAACAAUCCUAUCGGGAUAAAAUACAAUAGGCUUAACAUCUGAACUCAGGAUUCAAGCAAAAGGAAGGGCGAUGGGGAAAGGCUUUACUCUAUUAAUGCAUGGCUCAGAAGU